CCUUCUAAGAGUUUCUUCUUUGGGUCUUGAUUUUUUAGGUAGCUCCUGGCUUAGCCUGCCUGUUCCCCAUUCUUCUGAAACGGAGCAGAGCCCUGAAAAACACAUCUCUUCUUCUGAACCCAUCCUGGACCUCAAGACAGACAUGGCAGCAGCACUUCCAGUCAACAGCACCCCAGAGGCCCCUGGGGAGCCAAAGCAAUGCCAAGAGAYGAAGCAGGACUCGGCCGGCCUGAGCAGUGGGUACGACUUUGCAACCACUGACACAAGCAAGCCUGGCCCAGCUCUGGCCACGGGUGAGAAACUCCCAAGCACAGGUCCACCAUCGGAGGGGGAGGAUCCCAGCCCCGCAGACUCCUUGCCGUGGCCAGAGGCCCCUGAGGAAUUCYCACCCUGUCCCAACACCCUGAAUUUGUCCAAGUCCUUCAAGAAGCUGGAGGAAGUGAAGCASAUGGGGCAGAGAAGUAACAGUGAUGAUUCAAACGUCAAGGAGAAUGGGGUCGGAGGUGGACCCGAGGCAGCAGCCAUGAGCGAGGAGAGGAAGGCACUGGCGUCUGAGCUGGGGAAGUGCAUUGAGGACUUCCGGAAGAUCAAAAUCCCUGCUGCCUUUCCCAACAAGAAGCGUCAGUGGCAAAGUGAGCUGCUGAAAAAAUACCACCUGUGAGAGGACAGGUUGGGACUGAGGCCUCCACUGAGGGGAGGAUGGCCUCCCACAGGAGUGGGGGUGGUAAUCUGAGUUUUUCCACUGAAGUCCCCUGGGCAGUGGGUGACAGAGGCUACCCCAUGCACCUGAAAUGAAGAGUGUGUGUGUAGGUUACUGUUCAGCCCAUCCAACAACCAGAAGGGCUGCAGGCCUAUGGCCAUGACAGCAUGCUUCUUACUAUGGCAAUGGGGAGAGUGGGGGGAUGCAUGAUGUGUUAAGUGGCUUAAACACAGAUGGAGAGGUUAGAAAAAGGAAGGGUCCCAGGAUGAAUCUUCAGGGCCAAACCUACCAUCCAGCAGAAUUUCCCACAUUCAUGAGAACGA
rnacentral:lncRNA from 1 species